ACGUUGAAAUUAUUUUUAUAAUUUUUCUUUCCUCUCAUGUUCAGUAAAUACGUCAGCGUUCGAUCACGCUGCGAGAAUCGGGAUUGUGUCGUUAAGGUGUGUGACGUAUAUACGAUGGAUCAUUUAACGGCAUAAGGUCGAAUGAUAAAAACGAAAUUGGUACGUCGCGAAUAACGCCGUGCAAUUCGCUCGCCCUGCAGGUGAAAGAAACGUCGAGAUAUAGGGAAUAGAGAUGUUUCCAAAACCGGUCGUCAUUUAAAAAUUUACGACUUUGACGGGCUGGCGUUCGGGGCACGUAAAAGCGAAAUGCUUCGAGCGAUAUAACGCUGCCGAAUCGAUUACCGCCGAAUUUCCAUGUACUAUUUUUAAUUUCGCAUAAAACUCGCCACCCUCGAAAAUAUCGUAAAUAAACGCCGAACAAAAACCGAAACUUGUGGUAUCCCGAUACGAUAUUUCCGAAGCUAUUUGAACGUUUCGAUAGUCUAUUAACGUUUACAUGGUAUCUGAAAGGCGUAUGGGACGGCUAUAAAUCACGUUCAAUAUGGCGUUUCAAUAAAACCGCUUGUACCAACGGAAAGAAAUUAUUUAAUGUUGGAAUUAGGAGUUAUUAUCGCGAUAAACAAGUGUUAACAAAAAAGAUCGUAGAGAGAGAGAGAGAGUGACCGAACCGUUGAACCAGAGCCUAAUCAGCAAUGUAACGUUUUACUCGACACGAAAACCGGAGCCGAUGAGUGAAGGGAAAUACGUGCGAGCGCGCGCGACGGGCUUUAACUAUCCGGAGAAGAACGAGAGAACCGCCAUUAGUUCAAAAGUUUUCCCAACAGUCUGUCAGUCUGUUUUCGUCGACGCGCUUCAUCUUAUUCCGGUGAGCGUGCGCGACGAUUGUCUUCCGCCGGAUUUUCGUCGGCACGAAACUUUUGGAGGACUCAACGAAUCACCACCAGGUUGUCGUCGAUGGAGAUCGACGAUCGGAGAUCGCUCUUCCGAUAAAUAACAAGUUAUUACGCGUAGACAAAGUGUGAACAGAUUAUAUAAUAUUUUUCUUAUCGAUCGUACGCUCGACGUGACACGGUUCUCGAGCGUAAAAUUUUUCGCGAGGAAUUUAAUAAUCCAGAGUAUUUAAGUAGUUAAUUGAGAGUUUAAAAAAAUAAUUUAUUGUUAUGAAAAGUGGAUAUUGAACGGAAUCGUUUUAUUACAUCCCACUUUGAACACAUCUGAACAGUCGAAUGAAUUAUCUAUCCUACAUACAGUUUUUUAUACAUUACCCUCGUGUAUGUACAGUAAAAAAUCAUUUAUGGCUAAGGCAGUACGGUGAAAUCGAUCUAGGAUAAUUUUCUUAAUUCUUUGGUAACGCGGGGAUUAAAAUUGCAAAUGUUUAUGGUGCGUAUAUAUGUCAACUCGCAGCAACGCGGCUUUCGCGACGUGAGCGCACAAGUUAAUGCAUUCCGCUGCACCAAUGGUACCAUCGACGGCAACGGUAUAAAGCCGAUGUUAAUAUUUGAUUUGCCGGUUGCUGGGCGGCGAUGCGCAUGCCCAGCGUAUCUUCGACAUCCUCUUCGCGUUCCACCCCCUUUAAAUCUCGCCACCCUCGUCCUCCUUCUCUCCCUCCCUCAUCGAAGACACUCGUAUUUACGUAUCCGUCGCCGCUUUCAAUAGACAGGAUUUAAUGCCGGGCGGUUGCCGAGCGGUAAACUCGCAUCUUGUGACUCGCGGAUAAGAAUUAUCGCGAGAGCGAUCUGAUUUCGCGACCGACGAGUUCAACGAUCUCCCUCGCGCAACAACUCGCGCGAUGGUACGAUACUUUAUUUCGGAUAAUUUUGGCUGGUGUUGCUAACGUCUGGCGGUCGAUAUACCGCGAUAAUUUUGAUGCAGUCGCGAGAAAGAGAGGAAAGAGAUAGAGGGUUCGAGAGAGAGAGAGAGAGAGCGCGCGCGCACGGUGACAUCUCGGAAAUUGUCGAUCGGACUUUACGAUGAACUUGCUAUUCCCGUCCAUCCUGCCCUUCGUUGUAGCGCUAACGCCAACUUCUCUGGAGAGUUAAACGGUGCAGUUCGCGUCGAAACUUUUUUUUUCCCUACGUUUAUAAAACGCGAGUUAUCGAUUAACCUUUGUGAGUGACGUGGCGAAUUUAACAAUCGUGUUUCUUUUUUUAACGGGAAUUUAUUAAUAUCGCGCUCUUAUGUGGUAGAAAAUGGUCUAUAGGCCGCGAUCAAGCAUAACUUUGUUUUUAUCUACUUGCCCGGCACUUUUCCAUAUAAAAUGCAUCAUGAUGCAUCUGUUGUACCACGUCGGUCACUAACGUAUCAUUGCGCGCCUCCUCGCGUGUUAAUAUUUAACGUGCCGUCUAACGUUGUUAAAACAGGAAGUCUGAUGUAGCUAAGCUAGGCAUUUCAAUGCAUAAAUUUAAACCCUUUGAAACUCGAGUCACUGCUUAUUAACAAAAAAAAAAACAUUUGAAUUUUACACGAGUCGCUCUUAUACAUAGCACUACUCAUCGGGAGGUCGUUGAAUAAUUUUCUCAGCGAACAUUACAGCAGAACAUUUUUGCAUUCAAACAGAAUAAUUUUUCUUCGAAGAAAAAAGGAAAAAAAAAUACGUUGAGAAUCUUUCUUUCUAUCGUAUAUGUUUAGGACCUGAAAACAUUUUAAUGUGUCACGAGGAUUUAAAUAUGUCGCCUUACUACUGCCUGGUGGAAAGCCGAACGUUUCUGCUGGUCGGAAAAAUUAUUUUAACGAUUAUUCCGUUAACGCUGUGUCUCUGAGAAACGCCGUACGAAAGCAGAUGGUCACGGAGGGAUUUCGUAACGUAGAGAGAGAGAGAAAACCACCGAGCCCGAAAAUAGACGACUUUGCGGGCGCGCGCACGUCCUCGCUUUAUACGAGGAAACGAGAGGCCUGUCAGCUGAUUGGACGAGUGCCAAUUUUUGGUGAAUGAACCGACGUGUCUCGUGUCUCGAAUACACACCCUCUUUGAUAGUGUGCCUUCGUCACAACUCGCAUUCGGUCGCGAAAAAUAUGAGGCCUUGUUUUUUUUUAUUUUAUUUUUUUUUUUUAUCAGCCAACGCCUGCGGAAAUGAAAUCAAUUCCGGUGCUUAAGAGAUAUGUAACAUUCGUAAUGUAACAGAGAGCGAGGCGACGAUCGAAUGUUACGCGUCAGUUACUUUUGUAAUAAUUUAGAAUUUUUAUCGAAGCAGCUAUAUUGUCUUUGUAAUCGAUAUAGAAAAUUAUGAAAAGGUCGAGUGAUAUCUAUUUAACAUGUAUAUUACGAAAUCAUUCGGUAGUAACGAUGCGGUUACAACAGGUCGAGAAACUAGUUGGAUAUCAGAAUUCGUAGCAAUGUCAGAAUUACAUUGACCAACUCGACGUCAAGUCCUCUAACGGCGAGCGAGUUGACUCGUCCUAUCGAGUUAAAGGAUUAACACGUAUGUCUACCCCCGAGAGGCGUGCCCAUUACCGCGAGAAGCGGCUUUGAUAUGCUAAUAAAGAACCAGUAACGCGAUCUCGAUGUCAGGAUAUUGUCGCCCGAUAAAGACGUUAGAGACACGGGACCCGAAAGAACAACCGCGCGUGUGACAUGUGCGUAAAAGCCAACAACAGGCUUAGGCCCCGGGCCUCCGAUUCCCCUUGGAAGAUAAUGAAAUUUCACAUGUGCGAGAAUCGAAAAUCAUCUCCUUUGUGCAAGGUCGCUUAACGGAACACCCGGGAGGAUCAUCGCCGAUAGAAUCUCACGGGUCAACUCGACACUGGAUACUGCGCGCGAGGGCCUUUUGCAACGGACGCCGAAGAGCCGCGCAUGCAAAUCGCAAAUGGCCGAAUAAGAACAUGCGUUUAUGCAUACGUAAUAUUCUUACGCGAUGCAGCUUUCGCAGAAGAAGAUUAACGGUGCUGCAUUAAGAAAAUGAAGAUACAGAAGCGUGUUGCGUUAGGAAAAUGGAGGUAUUAACUCGGUGGAUUUUACGCAGCGGAGCUUUACGAAGAAGUUUUUGUUGCGAGACUAGAGAGGAGAUUAGUCGGGGGUGGGGAAGAGAGAGGAGUCUUGCCGCGCGAUACAUCGGUCUCCAUUUCUACAUCUCGCUUUAUUUCAGAUGCGCGCUAUCAUGUACAUUCUCUCGACCGUAUCUUCUGUUCAUUGAACGAGAGAGAGAGAGAGAGCAUGCACCCGGCACGAUUUUCUCUAUUACACUUCCGGUCCCGUAUAUUCUCCUGCGUUUAUUUAUUUGCGAAUCCGUUAGACUUACUCGCUACCGAGAACUCUAUUACGCGCACGAGCGUCUCCUUACCGGCUGGCUGGCCGCAAUGCUUCUUGGCACGUAGAGCGGGUCAGGGCUGGUGGCAGCGAUACCACCGCGAUAACCUUGUUCGAUAAGCGUGGCGGCUUGCGUUUCCGUUAAGUCGUGCAUCCUGCCGCGAAUUGAGCUAUCUACAAGUUAGUAUCAAAUGCACGAAGCUCACUGCAGCCACGAUAGGAAAAAGGAAUUUAAUCACUCUUUAAUGCCGAUAGACCUGACAUGACGGUUUUAUUGGUGAAUCGCGAGAUGCUCUUUUCGCGAGUAAUCCUCGACCGUAGAAUAGGAUUAUUUACGCUUCGUAAAUUGCUGUCGGAAUUUUAACAGUCAGUCUUAUUUUUUUCUUAUUUUAUAUGUAUUUCUUUUCGUUCUUUAUUAUUAACGCGAGGAAUAAAAAUGGCAUAGGAACUUUUUCAAUCCGUUGACAUAGAACGUGGCUUAUUCAUUGCACAGUCAAAUAAAAAUAAUUGCAAUUUUAUUAUUCAUCUAAUGUUAUGCCAUUAUAGACUUCUGGCAAGAAUAUCAGCUUUUCUAAAUCACUUCGGGGAAAUGUUCAAUUCCAAGUGGCGCUUUUGCCGGACUAACGAGUUUAGGGGCACGCGCGUAGUUUCCGAUUUGUCCGUGGCAAUUUUUGAGCUUUCCCUGAAAAUUCGAUCAUCGAGCGCGCGCUGGAGAGAGACGGAGAUUAGUUCGCGCUCGGGAUGGGACGUGGAAGAGAUGAGGCGAGGGUAGAGCGGUUUCCGACGCCGGGGAUAGAAUCGGCGGGAUCAUUUCCUUGAAUUUAGAAAACUGUGAAAAUCCACUCUGGAUUCGUUGCGAUGGCGCGCGCGCGCAGGUCAGCUUACGACGAGCAAAUUGGAUUUCGCAGGCGCGAAGGGCGAGACAGAAAUCGAAUCGCAGGGGAUAAAAGCGUUCGGGGUAGAGGAGGGAAGGACAGCGGAAACCGUUUCCGUUCCCGAGUGCUCCCGCAGGAACGGCUUUCGUGUUCGUGAGUUGGGAAACGGCGCGAUCGCCAGAGCCGAUUCAUCGCAUCGCGCUGUGGGCUUCUUUCGAUCCACUGGCUUGCAAAUUGAAACACCGGACACAGAUGCAUCAACGAGCGGUGGCCUCUUUGCUUAUUUUUCUAAAUAUAUAAUUAUCUUUUAUUAUAAUAUAUAUUUCAUAUAUAAUCAUAUUUUAUUGAAACUCUUUAAACAUUAAAACAUAACGAGAAGAAAUUAUGUUGAGUCAAAGCAAUCAAAUGCAAUAGAUUAAUUUAUUGAUUUUGUCAUUUUGUACAUCGUAUCAGAGGUAAAUCAUAUUCAUCGACUAAUUAUAUGAAGAAGAUUGUUAGAUAUAUUUAUGGACUUUCAUAUUUUAAAUCCCUUAAUUUUUCAGACUCAUUUGCACUUUUCGUUUUGUGUGUCAAAAUGUAACACUUGUUUGUAUUUAAUGUCACAUUUUUUACAUUAAUUUUAGAAUUAAUUUAUGUUUAAUGUACAUUGAUUACAAAAUUGCUACAGCGAUAUUACAAUUCGCGAUAUUUGUCUCUAACGAUCAAAACAUUUUAAUGAUUGAAUUAAAUUUUUUUCUAUCGUUACGUUUUUAAGGAACUCACAUUGAAUAAUCAACGCACGCCUCUUUCUCUUGUUAUGUUCUUUUCGUAUUUAACGAACGAGGGAGUAAAGUAUUUCGAAGACUCGUAAUCAGUAAACGGGAAAGGACUUGUGAAAAUUUUAAUCAAACCGAGUGGUCGCUCCUAUAUCGAAUCUUGCUAUUUGCCACGUUUGUUCGUCGUCGGGUACAUAUUACUCUUAAUUUUGCAAAAGUCUCCCCGGGUCUCGAUUCCUUUUCCCCUAAAGGACGUAAGAUAAUAUUUGUCCCGAAAUUUCCGAGCGAGGACUUGUGACGGGUCGAAGGUAGCGCCGGUUACGUAUUGCAUACUGCGACAAAGAACGUUUGCUCUUCUCGGCACAGGCCGGAACUGCCGUCUCUUGAGAGCCUUUAAAGUUUAAAGGGCCAGCUGGAGGGCAUUAGGAAGGAGGCACUGCGCUACACACGGCCCUUUAAAUCUCGGUGAAAUUCUUGCAAAAUGUUCGAAGCGCCCCGUCGCGUCCGACCGACAUUUGACUUUUUAAAAGAAUCUAAGAAUUUUGCAAAUUAUUUAUUGCAACGAGACGAAAAUUUCUCUGAAGCAGCUACAUUACAGAUUUUCUACCAACAUUUUGCUUGCUUUCUCCUAUUUCUCGCACUAUUUUUAAUUGCAAGUCGAUAAAUUAAAUUUCUCUUUAAACCAGCGCACUCCUUAAUGAAUUUAUAAGACUAUGAAUUUGUUAAGGAUUAUGAAAUGAAGAGAGAAUAAAAAUUGUGUGAAUACGUAUCGCAAAUAUCUUUUUUCUUCUUUAUAAGAUUUGCAUUGCUAAUCAAAGCGUUAAGAAUUUAUAUUCUCUUGACUCUCCAAAAUUAGAUUCCAGUAUUUUAAUGAUCUUAGACAGAUUAUCUUUUUUUUAUUAUAUUUUUCUAGUCGCAUUGUUUUCCAAGAUCUAAUAAUCACUGACAGUUUGGUGGCACCUGCACUGCUCAAAUAAUCUUAUUUUAAUUAAAAUGUAGUCCGAUUUAGUCUUUUACUAAAGAGCGUGCUAUCAAAGUUUACGAGCGAGUUUGUAUUCCGUAAUCUCUCUUUGCAUAUCUUUUACAGUACUUAGUAUUGUGUUCUCCUGUUAUAUUAAGCAUCUUUCUUGUUGUUAAGCAACUGUUAAAAUAAUGUACAUUUUAUAUAUUUAUGAAAUUAACGUAAAAUACAUAUAACAUAAAAUGUGAUUUAAUGUUGAUAAUUGAUUCGAAGAUUUGAACACAAAAAGUAUUGGUUGAUCGAACGAUAACUAAAGUUACUCGUGUCAAGAAACAAUUAAAACAACGCUCGUUUGUUUAAAAAUAGAGUAAUCACAGAGAAAGAGGUCGUAGACCAGCUUUUUAAGGAUGUAACGUGUAAUAAGGCUGAUGAAGACUAAGUUGAGUCUCGAAACGUUCCCAAUUUAAACAUCGUUUGAUAAGAAAAAGCUCGUCUAUGACUCUUCGCGAGUCGCACGCUCACGUCGGCUUUACGCACAUUGCAAUCUCCGACAGUUUGGCGCGAGAUAUUUCUCUGUUUGCAUGGGGUAUCCUGCGAGACUCGAUUAAAGGGAAGGAAGCCUCCCGUGGCAUUUAACCGCGCGGAAUAACGAAGCGGCGCGCGCGAGUACAGACCGACCGAUUGAUCGGCGCGUACCGUCCGUUCGAUCCCUCUCGCCGUCGGCGUCAACGUCGAUGACGGCGGGGAAGUUGCGGUGACGGGGUCCGCCGGGGGCAGCACGCAGUACCGGGAAUCGACGGAUAAUCGAUAUCGGGCUCGAUUCCCGACCGCCUCGCCGUACGGAAUAACGAUGUCUCGUUAAUGCCGUCGAACGAGCGUGAAAGAGACCAUUCGUGUCGGUUCGCGACGGCGGCGGUGCUAAAGGAAGGAGGCAGGCACACGCUCCCUUACCUUCGUCGAGCUCGUUUCCUCCUUUGCUCCCUUCUUCCUGUUCUCCUUUCUCGCGUUUACGUGAAUGGUGACGUUACACUGCAGCGGUAUAUACUCGAGCGAUCCCGAUAACCCGACCGCGCGCGCGCAUCAAAGGCACACACCUUUGUCUCGUUAGUUUGCGUAUCGAGAUAUAAUAGCUGAGAUCCGCAUCUUUCGGUAUCCACGAUUAUCGCGGCGGCAACGAAAAGAUUUCCCGAUGGAGUUCUCCUCAGGGUCUCUCUUUCUCCCUCUCCCGCCUCGAUUCUCUGCUCUCACAUUCCGGGUUGCUCGUCGGGGGUUGAUACUCGAAAGCAACCAUUUAUCACUUAUGCUGCAUGGAUGGUAUCGUCGACGCAGCGAUUCCGGGAUAAUUUAUCGCGUGUUUUUGCAACGGCGCGGCGCGGCGCGGCGCGGCGCGGAGCCGACGGCGACGACGACGACGGCGGCGGCGGCGGCGGCGUCUCGCUGUUUCCGCGUACACGAAAUGAAUUCCUCGCUCUCUUCGCGAGCGAAUGCUGCCACGUCUUCGGCGGCAUCUUAAGUAUCUGGAUAUUCUCUGCCGCGGAUGGCGUCCGUCUUUUCCGUCUUCCUUCUCUUCGCGGCGCUUUCCUUCUUUUCGCGUUUGCUCAUGUAUCGAAAGAUUCCAAGGAUCGUCCCGUCAAGUCCGACUUUUCCGACUCGCGUUGCUUCUUUUAAGCUCAAGAGUGAGGAGACGACCAGCCAGCUCGCGCGACCGUGUCUCGAGACACGUUACAGUUUCACGAUCAGCGAUGCGAGAGAAACGCCGGUUUUUGUUUCUCGUCUGUGUAUAUCUCGCCCGGAAGGCUAUCGUCUUGGUGGUUGUCUUCGUCCCUAUCAUCAUGGAUGUACUUUCAUCCUCAUUCUCUCUCGCAACCCUGAGGCAAACUCACCUACCCGUACAGGAUAAGCUUAGACUCCUCGGUGUACAAUACACUUCCCCUUUGUGCGAAUAGUCUCGUCCGGUGAAUCGCGCUUUCAGAGCAAGUACCCCGAGAGAGCGAGAGGUAUACUCGCGUCGACUCGCUAGAAUUCUGACAAUGCACUUCGCCGAUGCUUGAAAUUUUUUCCUCGUCUCUUUUCUUUUUCGCCCAUCCUCGGCCCUUGAGCACGCGGGAUUUUCUUUUUUACAACCAGGCCCGAGAGAGUGAGAGAGCGGCGACGGACUUGCGAAAGAAAUUGCGAAAGAAAUUGCGUUCUCGAGAGACCGAAUUAUUCUUGUCAGCAACGAGGAUCUUUGCUACGAGACGCUGCAACGAAAAGCUGCAACUACAUCUUUCAUUGUUACACGCUAUUCUAAAAAAGAAUACGCGAAUUUUCGUAAAAUUAAUAAAUCAUACGUAGAAACGGAAGCCAAGUGAUUGAAGUUAAGUGCUGAUCCGCGAGCUUCGGAUAACCGUGAAAUAUUUCUUCUUACGAAAAGUUUAUCACAGGAUACCGCGUCCCAGAUUCCCCGAAUGUUCUCGUAUCUACAUUUUCCAAGCUUUUGCGAUUGAAAAGUAGCGCUACUGAGAUUUUUCUUUAAAUAAAUACCGGCGUCUGUGUCGACCGCCGUUCCGUCGACUCGCGUUCGCGGCAGGCGGAAAUGGGUCGCGAUAACGUACAUACAUAAUAGACGGAUGAAGCCGUGUCUGCCGCUUUGCAUACCGAAUCUCGCGCGACGGCCACGUUGUUACGUGAGUAAAGACUUUUCGUCUACUAAGAGGAACAAGAUAGCGGCGACGUCGUCGGAGAGGGACGACGAAGGGCGACGAAGACGGAGACGGAGACGGAGACGGAGACGUAGACGGCGAUGGCGGCGGCGGCGUCGUUGGCGCCGACCGGGUAAGAAGAUAACUUCGUUUCUCCUAGCCGGGAACCGAAUCGACCGGAAUAAUUAAUAAUUAACGCCGGGGCGUGACCCGCCCCUGCCUUCCGUAUUCUAGUUCGCGGCGGCGGAUGUCGACCUCGUCGCCAUCAUCUCGCCACGGAACUCCUAAAGUAUCGCUCGCAUAAUAUAUGGGGACGCCGAAUUCCCAUCUCCCUGGCUCUCACGGAAUUUUUCGCGAGACUGUUUUCUUGCGGUGAAAACCAAGAAUUAUUUAGGAGCGGAAAUCCCGACGCGCGCCCGCGCGAUGGCCGCGUCGAGUUAUACUUGGAAAUUGGCAAUAAUCCUUUGAAAACAAUGAUUAGUUAAUUACUUAGUAAAUCUUGAGAAGCUCGGUAAGCUAAGAGGCUUUAAUGAGGAUAGAGCACGAUAUAUAGACGCGGGAGCGUCGAAAGACGCAAAUGUACGCCGUUAGGAGUUCCUUGAGGUCGAGAAUAGUUAAAGUACGUUAUACAUACGUAAUGUAACGAGCAGAAAUACACACGAAAUGUUCGCGAGCAUAUGCUCGCGAGAGACGGAUUACGCAACGUUGAUUGUGGAAACUUUUCAACCGUUUUCCCGCACGGAGAUUUUUUUCUCCCCGCUAGUUCUUUCCUUCUCGCUAAAAUUUCGCGAACAACAUCAAAGGGCAGCGAGCGAAUGACGUCGACCAGCGAUAUAAUGGUCGCGAAAAGUGUGCCUGAUGCGUGAUCGUGCUCAAAAGAAUUCCGCAGCCGGCGAGGUGUGUCAGCCCGAUCGGAUUUCAGUUACCGUCUUUCGCGUUGGCAGACUCGAGUAUAAAAGGCUUCAUCCUGCCGCAUCCUACCACUCGAAAGAUGACCGUCGUUGUCGCGUCGUUGGACGUCUCGCAGAAAUAGACAAGUUCUAAAGGAGUGACGGUGGUAUCGGGGCGUGCGGAUAUUAAACCACACUUUGCGGAUUUCGCGUAAAAAUCGCCAUAGCGAUUCGUGGCGAUAUCGGCGAUGACUCUUUUCGACGAUUUCAAGCUCCAAUAAUCUCUAAAAGCUAACAAUGAUAUCCAGCAGAAGUGUAAUUCAACGAGAAAAUAUAAAAGGCAUGUUUUUCCUUUUAUGUAAUUGGAAAAUUAAAGUUAAUUAGAAUUCAAUUUUUUUUUCAUAAACGUCUUUGAAUUAAUUUUUUUAUAAACGUCUACGUUUGCUGCCUAUAGCUUCAGUAAAAAAAAAAAAUUGUUUUUCUGUGUGUUCUACUAAUGGCAAACAAUUGGAUAAUGUCUAUGUAGAUUCGUAAUUUCUCAAUAUCGCAUCAGCAUCAAGAGCCAAUUCGCGUUGCGCAAUGGCUAAUUUUUCAAUGGCAGACUCACGUGAUCAUUACGUCUUGUAACCGCGAGAUCUCGUGCCGUAAUGAUACGCCGGUAACUUUCCGCUCGAUCUCCCGACGCGGACGCGGCGCGAAAUAUUCAUCGUCGUUUUGUCGGACAGGCUGCACGGACGUCGUUACAAAAUGUCAAUUUACACGAGGACAGGUGCGAAAGAGCAGUUUGUUUUGAACGCUGAGCCAAGGUUGCAACGAUGCAAAUUUUCACGACGCAAAAAGCACUACGUUGUUACGCUUUAAAAACAGCAAAGGAUGGAUAAAAUCGUCUAAUUUGGCCUUUGGAGCGUUGAAUAAAAACGAUAUAAUUGACGUCACUACUACUACAUUGGUCAUGAAAUGUGCUGUUGCGGCUAUAAUCUGAUACAGGACGACCUGCGAACACGCUCGUUACACUACAACGAUAGAUUAGCACGCGCACAUACGUACAAUCGUAACGCAAAUGAGUGCGAUUUAUUAUUCUACAUAAUGCAACGGCGUCAUCAGAAAAUAUAUGAAAAUUGCACUUAUUUAUUUUCUGUCUUUGUGCUUAUUACGUGACUACUUUAUUGCAAGGACGAAAGAAACUGGCGACUUUUAUUACCGUUCUUUCUUACUUCACUAAUAAAUAAAAAGUUGAACAAUUAUAAAGAAAAUCUAAUAAAUAAAAUUAAUACAGAGCACUCGUGAAUGUAGAGAGAAGUAAUAAAUUUAAACGUAAAAUGAAUGUAAUAAAUAAUUCUUAUGAGAGAGACAGAAAUAUAGAGAGAAUUCGGAAGAAAGCGGGUUCAAUAUAGAAUAUAGAAUAUAUAUAUAGAAAUGAAUGCUCGAUGCGUCGCGGAGAAUGUUUUACGAAUUGGCAAAGAAACAGCAUGCACACAAGCGCGAUAGAGUCACUAUAUAUGUACGCAGCUAUAUGUGUACAAUGGUUGAGUUUUUCACCGGAAGUGAGAAAUUUUACGACUCCCUGCGUUGAGACGGUGGACAUUUAUAGUGACGUGACGUAAUCUCGCAGCAAUAAGCGCAAAAAGGAUCGUGCGGCAUUACCGAUGAGCAAAACUCGAUCGGUGGAAACGACCUCUCUUUCUCUUUUCAUUCUUUCCCUUUUUUUAUUUUAUUACGGAGAGUUGUCUGAAAGAUAUUGCAUCGCCUUUCUAGCUCGAUAAUGCCAGACGCCUUUUACAACGGCCGCGGUUUACAGCGCAACUUAAUAGAAUGAGUUUCUUCGGCGUAUCAAAUUUUAGUUAACUUGUUAUGCGAAGUACACCCUUCUUCUAAAUACUCGCGACUUAACGGUCGGUAGCUUUUUUGCAAUUCAAACGAAGAGACACGUCUCAAUUAUGUGACACUGUAAAAUUACAAUUUAACGGUACGAAACAAGAAAGGAUCAGGUCCAUUAUUCGCAGACGUAGUUUCUUAUUUAAAGCGAACAGAUUGCGGAAGUGCAAUUUCUAAGGAUCUCUCGUUUAUAUAGAGAUGCGUAAUGCGGUAUAUCAUAUAUUUUAUUUUCACUUUCUAAGGAAUAACUAUGAAUAAGCGAGUAGGUCGGAGGAGAGAUCUAUUACCAAACUGUAUGUCGCGUCUGUGUGUCUCGCGAACGAGAGUUGUAAAGAGACCGAGAGAAUGACAGCGAGAACUUGGAGAUAUCCCGAGCCUCUUUAAAUAACGCACUUCCUUCCUCGCGUGUCACUGGGUUACCGUGUUUUUCCCGCAAAACCCGCGGAAGAAAAAGUUUCAUCGUGAAUCUCCGCCACUCCUCUUCUCCGUCUCUCCCUUUCGCUCCCUCUUUAGGAACUCGUCGUAUGUUCCUUCGGCCUACAGCAGGUUCAUCCCUCGUUCGUGUGACGAUGCGAAGGGGAAGUAUGAAGCGUCGGUGGGCGAGAAAGGUGGAGGACGCAGGGGUUGAGAAACGCCGUGGAGAAAUCGUAGGAGAACGAAGUCGUCGAACCGGGAGGAAGAAUUAUAUCGCAUCUAAAUCAUACACGCGACGCCGGCGCAAGGCCGUUUUAUUUCACCAGUAUGUUUUACGGGAUCGAAAGAAAGGAUGAGAACGGUGCAACGAAGGGGCGAAAUCUUCCCUUGUCGCGGAUACAUCCUCUCUGCUCGCUUUUUCGUCUGCUCUCUCUUUCUCUCUCUCUCUCUCUCUCUCUUUCUCUCUUCGAAAAUCAACGAGAACGAACGCCUCUUUCCUCCCUCAUGGCGAGUCAAUACGAAAAAUACAAGGAAAAUCCAUACCGUGGCCAGGGAGGAGCAACGCAGGUUUUUCCUUCCAACUUCAGAGGCUGCCAUCGCCGUCGUCGUCGUCGUCGUCGUCGUCGUCGUCGUUGCCGUCGAAACGAUCCUUUGAUAAAGCAGCGAUGCAUGCAGAUGGCUUGUAGGGAAGAAACGGGCUCAAUAAAAACGGUAACAAUGGCCCGGGUGCGAGGUAACGCGGGCGUGGGUUGAAAAAAUGGGGAUGAAAAGGGAUCUCUGAAGGUGGAGCCAAGAAAAAGAGCUUGCGGAAAGGAAGAUAUUCUCGCAGAAGCGAGCUGCAAUUCCAAUUCGACUAAUUUAAUUCAAUGUUUAUUUUUCUCAUUAUUUUAUUUUUAUCCGCGCGGUUUUAUUUGAGCUUAUUUUCGUCGGCAUUUGUAUUUCGCGAUAGAGCUCGAGAUAAAAUUCUAUUUAUAAGUUUACAUGCCGUGUACAUAUUCCAUAUGCCGGUCUGGUACCAGUUGGUUCCGAAUCCUUUCGCAAAUAUUCCCUAUGCUCACGAAAUUCUGAAGCAUUUGAUACAGGUUGCACUAGGCUUUUCCCCUCCUUAAACGCGCCAUAAUGAAGCCUCCUCCAAAUUGCACGUUAGACUACAACGUGGCGUCAUUUAAUCAUCCACUCUUGGGGAGGACGAAAAUGACUCCUCCAUCUUAGACCGCUCGUCAUUCUUUCGGACACGAUACAAUCUUCUCCCCAUUCUUCUCCGUGGCACAAAGUAGCGUUGUUCCCAAGCAAGCCCAGAUUUAACCGAGGUGCUCUCUUUGCCCUCUCUCCCUAUCCCUCGUGCGACUUCUCUUUCUUUUUUUUUUACCUUUUGGAGAUGCGCUGCUCGUAAAAUUUUUAAAAGCAUCCUUCGGCAACUUUGUCUUCCGUUGAACCGCCGUUCCCUCUGUCCCUUUUCGCCUGCUGUAGCUUCUUUUUCUGUUCUAUUCCAUCGCCUGAGACGACGCGAUCAUCGGCGAGGCCGACACUAGACGUCCAAGGAAAAUCACGAUAAUCCCCCCCGGUCGUUUGUAAAAUUUGGCGCGCUCGUAAAACCGAGAGAGACGGUAGUUACGUGCAGGGGAGUAGAGACAGAAAGGAGAUGUUAUGAGUGGUUCGGAGGAGGGAGGAUGAUCCCUUUCCGAAACGUUCCCGCAGCGCCCCAGUCCUAAUCGUAAAAUCGUCCCAAGCCGUAGGGACUUUGCCUUUCCUAAGAAUGUAUCCGGAGCGUUUCCGAGUAUCGAUCCUGGCCAGCGAGGAUCCAGGUCCGGCAUUACAGGCAGCCCAGUUUCGAGCUAAUUGCUAAGCCGAGCUUAUUUAACGCAGAUAGUUGAUACGAUCCGGUCUUUUAACUUUUCGGCCGUACCGAAAAUUAAGAAAUACCCGUCCUUUUUUUCAGAAAUGCUUAAUAAAGGGUUAGCUGUUUUAUUGAGACUUUUUUUUAUGAACAUUCGUUGCUGCUUUUGCCAUAAGAAAUUCAGCCAAUUAGUUAGCUGUGAGCGUCGUGGGAGUGCCAGGUUCUCUAAUUCCGCGCGAGAUCGAUCGAGAGAACGGUGAAGUUGAUCUCGUAGAAUCGCGAGGUGGAUUUCUUUCCUUCGUCUCGGCGGAUCGUAACGUUUUUAUGUUCUUUCGUGCCGCCGUUUCCGGCUUUCAUUCCUUCGUUGACUAAAUCGACAGCGUAUCCUUCUCCUCUUUCCAUUCUUCCUACAUUCGUGAAUUUUUAUGUUCGCAAAAUUUUGCAUUACUUAAAUCUCGUGCCAAGUCAACCGAGCUUCAGAAUUCACUUAAAACCGGAAUGCAGAGAUCGCGAUUACCGCGAUUGACGGAAAAUCGUCUCUCCGUCGAUUUAUUCGCCGAGAUUCGAGCAAAUUUCGAGGAUGGCUCCUGUCGUCCCUCGGACGGGACGCGACGGACGUAGCGGGGUUGACACCGUUUAAGCGUGUCCCUGUAUCUUGAAUUUUACGAGCGCCACAAAAACAUCCCCGCAUCCGUCCGGCCGCGAAAAAGCAGCCUCGUAAAAUCAGGAGCGAGUAGACCGACAACUUUCAUCUUGGGCUCUUAUAUUCGCUAUUUUCCUGCGGAGAAAUGGCGAAACUUUGCUGCUCUCUACGGCCCGUUCGUUGUUCUCGCGGCGAAGCCCCGAGCUUGCAGAUCCAAAACUCGACUCAGUUACGACGAGAAUAACGUUGUCUUGCUACUGGCAAUAAACGUACCUUUCAAGCUCCAGAAGCAUAAUACUAAUUUGAUAUCGUAGCACUUUUAUUUGCACAAAUGUUUUAUUACUCUCACAUUUUUUUUUCUCUUUUGCGAAAUGCGCAGCGUUGUUUGGUUUGUCUAAAUUGGCAUUGGAAAGUCAGACUCGCUGUUCAUUCUUGCGAGAGCGAGAAGACUUUAUCCAGGGGAAAAUAAAACGUUCUGCCGGUUUACGGGCGCCGUAUCACGUCGUCUUAAAAUAAUUUGAAACUCGAUUUACAUGGGAAGAAUGUAAUCGUUCAUUUUUAUGCGGAUCACCGCCGUAUUAUAAGAUAAUUCGGAUUCACAUGAGCAGCACUACUUGCAGCACAACACGGAAUUUUAUGAUUUCCCAUAUUUUACGUACUUCGUAUCCCACAUAAAGAAUUCUCAUUAUGCAGUUUGUAGACAUAAGUUAUAGUGUACCUGCGCACAAGUCGUCUCUUUACAAAAUUAACAUUCCGUUAAAGAGGCACAUCCUUCUCUUGAUUAAGCUAAAAAUCAAGACGCAAAUGCAUUUUCCACCUCGAAAUGCAUUUUUUGCCUCCCCCUUCCCUCCCCGAUUUUGUCAAGCUCGACGAGAGGCGACUCCCGUGAAUUCGGUUACCGAAUCCCACGCGGCAAGGUCGUAAAGUAAAAAAGCGAAGGUCACUUCUCUCUCCGGGAAAAAGAAAUUCUGCAUUCCUAUGCGCACCGCGCUCGCAAAUAUGUGGUGCUGCGUGAGAAACCAACUCUUGCGAUCCGUGACUAUUUCAAGAAGAACGAUCCUUCUCUUUUUCCCUCCUGCCCUUUCACCGUUUCUCUUCUCUCUGUGCAACGUCAGGCGUGUAUCGCAUUCGUGAUGCUGCUCCUCCGGGGCCGGAAAGCCGCGACAUCGCCGAGAUUGAUCCCCGGGCGCGCGCGCGCGCGCGCGUUCGCAACAGAGCGCGUCGACUUUGUAACGUUUUCAUUUUCUUCUUGCCGCUGUGCAUAUCUGACAACGUAAGCAAACAGCAAAUAGAAAUUACGCUACAAGUUUAUCAUAAAACGGAGAAUGUCUCAUUGGUGUCUAACUGAGCUUAAAUAUUAGCAUAUCUUUUUAUAGUUUAAAGAAUUUUUUAUUGAAACUAUAGAAAUUUUCUUAUUUGAUACACACAAGCAGGAACACGUAUAGAUUCUGCAGUAAACCAACAUUUUUUUUGUAUAUAAUACUAAUCAUUUUUAUUAAGGCGUAUCUAAAAACACAGAAGGAUAGAGGAAAAAAAUUAUUCCAUUAUUGAAAUUAAUUAAUUGAAUUAAUUAAUAAUUUUCAAGUGUUUAUUUAUCUCACGUAGAAUAUGUGAGAGAGGCUCCACAUGCUUUCGUUAAGAGUAGAUGAAAAGGCGCGCUGUUAGAUGAAAUGCCGCGGUGUCGAGCGGUCCAAUCGAGAUACUUAAUGAAAUCUCGACGUUUCUCGUUAGAGAAACGAAUAGUCUUUGAAGAACGUUGUCGUCGUCGUCGUCGUCGUCGUCGUCGUCGUCGCCGCCGACGACGACGAUAUUCGGGCUGACCUCGUUUCGCGAUGGCGAAGACGUUAGCGGGGAGACAUUCCCGCUCUCGCCCGUGCCAUUUGUCCACCGAGCGGCAGCCGGCUAUUUUCGGGGGUUUUAUUCGGGCACCCGAGUUUCUAUCUGGCCCUUGUGUAAUUCGCCUGGAGCAAUGAAACACACGCGAGCGUCCGUCGUCCCGGCCACUUGAGAGAAAUCAAUUUUCACUUCGUCCAUUAAAUCCGUAUAUCGCCGCGCUUUGCAAAAAUCUCCGCUGAAACUCGCGCUGAGACGAAUCCGCGACGGAGAUAAGAGCGGGAGUAAAGACAACAGAGGGAGAAGGAGGUAGGGGGCUAUUUCAGUGUGUACUUUGCAUUAUUCGUCGAGUCGCUCGUUAAAAUGGCGGCGCUGCCACGGAAGAAAAUUGACUCUGGAAAAGCAACCUCGCUCUUUCCAGGAUAGAAUCUUCCACGAGAAUAUUACCCCCGAUUAAAAUAAUGGCACAGGACAUCUGGUCUCUUCUUUGGUGAAUUAAUUUUACAUAACGUCCCGAUUGCGUCUCUUUAACGCGAUAUCUCGCUUCGCAGUGACUCGGCAAUUUUUAUUUUAACAUUUUCAUGUUAUCAUAUAAAUAAUCGCGUCAGGCGAGGGGGGGGGGCGCAUUUUAUGUUCAUGGUAGCCUAAUAAAAUCACUGCGAUGUCUUCGAUGUCUGCGUUGUGUUCGAUUCAAAGUUGGCAAAGAACCGCGAAUAUAAAUUUUGUCAUAGAUUCUAUUGAUUGCCUGCGACCUCAACGGCGCAUUCUUUGUUCCGCGGACAGGGAUGCUGUUCCUUCAGCUUUAAGAAACUUUCAAAGGAACAAAGGUUACUGUUUGCUGCACAAAAUUCGACCACGUGCCGAGGCCUCUUGGGGGAAUACAUCCUUCUAGAAUAGUGCUGGUGCCGGUGGUGGUAGUGAUGAUAGUGGUGGUUGAACUCUCGCACGUUUCCCUUUUCCUUUGUUCAAGAAGUUACACUAUCGCUUCUCGCCGUUGUCGUCGUCGUCCGCGCCGGGAUCGUUAAUCGAGUGUGGAUGACAUACCGAUCGCAUCUUCGAGUGAGACGUGACGUUUUCCCGAGGAUCAUAUUUUUCUUUUUUUCUUAUCUCUUCAAUCAGUCUUUUGUGGAAGGGAUAA